rnacentral:rRNA from 1 species
AUUGAACGCUGGCGGCAGGCUUAACACACGCAAGUCGAGCGGAGAGAAGUAGCUUGCUACUGAUCUUAGCGGCGGACGGGUGAGUAAUGCUUAGGCAUCUGCCUAUUAGUGGGGGACAACAUUUCGAAAGGAAUGCUAAUACCGCAUACGUCCUACGGGACAAAGCAGGGGAUCUUCGGACCUUGCGCUAAUAGAUGAGCCUAAGUCGGAUUAGCUAGUUGGUGGGGUAAAGGCCUACCAAGGCGACGAUCUGUAGCGGGUCUGAGAGGAUGAUCCGCACCGCUGGGACUGAGACACGGCCCAGACUCCUACGGGGGGCAGCAGUGGGGAAUGUUGGACAAUGGGCGGAAGCCUGAUCCAGCCAGGACGCGUGUGCGAUGAUGGCCGUAUGGUUGUAAAGCACUUUAAGCGAGGAGGGGGCUACUUUAGUUAAUACCUAGAGAUAGUGGACGUUACCCGCAGAAUAAGCACCGGCUAACUCUGUGCCAGCCGCCGCUGUAACAC